UUUCGCAAUGCCCGAAAGGGUGACGAAGCGACGCCGCGUGCGGGAAGAAGGCCUUCGGGUUGUAAACCGCUGUCGGGAGUUAAGAAAUGUAAGGAUGUUAAUAGCAUCUUUGCUUGACUAAGGCUCCGGAGGAAGCCACGGCUAACUCUGUGCCAGCAGCCGCGGUAAUACAGAGGCGGCAAGCGUUGUUCGGAAUUAUUGGGCGUAAAGAGCACGUAGGCGGCUAUGUAAGUCGGUUGUGAAAGCCUUCCGCUCAACGGGAGAACAGCAUCCGAUACUGCAUGGCUUGAGUGCGGGAGGGGAGAGUGGAACUUCUGGUGGAGCGGUGAAAUGCGUAGAUAUCAGAAGGAACGCCGGCGGCGAAAGCGGCUCUCUGGCCCAUAACUGACGCUGAGUGUGCGAAAGCUAGGGGAGCAAACGGGAUUAGAUACCCCGGUAGUCCUAACUGUAAACGAUGGGCACUAAGUAGAGGGGUUUUA
rnacentral:rRNA from 1 species